rnacentral:misc_RNA from 1 species
GGUUCCUGUGUUGCCUUCCCAUCGUAUGGAAAGAUUCGUCGGACAGCCCCGCACCUGUCCUCCUUGUGGCUUUGCGGCUGCAAUGCGGACCUCGAAAGCAGUCCCCGUGUCCCGGACGUAUCCUCUGACCUUUGUCGUGGCUGUCUCGGUCCACAGGACAACUGCUCGUGCUCCCGGAUGUGGAAAAUUAAGCGGACGUGGGGGGGUCUCGGCCUCCGGUUGCUCCAAUCAAGUCCCUCGAUAAGAAUGACUCUCGCUACCCCGUUGACCGCAGGCCUUCCAGGCCCGUGGCAUCGAUGCGGGUCCGAAGUCGAUAAUGAAUGCUACCUGGUUGAUCCUGCCAGUAGUCAUAUGCUUGUCUCAAAGAUUAAGCCAUGCAU